rnacentral:lncRNA from 1 species
ACACUAGGGGUUUCUUGGGGAUACGCAGAUGACAAAGACAGUGUCUCUUCAUCCAGGAGCUAAUCAAGAGAAGGGGGAAGAAUCAAGCAAACUUCAUAAUACACAGCCGGAUGAAAUGAAAAGAGACUUAGAUCAAGUGCUGUGAGAGCUUGGAAGAGGCACGGGGCAAAUAACACUGGGGCUGGUGGUGGGAAGGCAAGUGACAGCCUCGUGGAAGAGGUGGCAUUUGACCAGAGAUGAGGACGAACAGAAUUAACAUAGUAGGCAUGAAGGAAGAAAAUGCGCCUGAGGACACAGCCAGCACAAAUGCAGAGGCAUACAAGUGCCUGGUACAGCUGGCAUGCAGGGAUGGCUGAGGAACUGCGGGGGCAGCCGGUGGGAUCCAUCCGAGGCAAACAGGAUUCCUGCAGACAAUGCUCGGAUGAUGAAAUCUGAGAGGCUGGAUGACAGAGAAACCCACAUGCAUACACACACACUUUAUAAAGCUUAGGAACAAAAGCACUUUAUAAUCUCCUUCUGAUGCCAAGUUUACAGUGCUUCCAGAGUCAACAAAGGUGACUCAGGAGAGUGCACCCAGCUCCUUUCAGCACUUAUUUAGCUCAGCCACCUGUGUGAGCUCAAAGACAAGGGUGCCGACUUCACCUGAGUAGACCCUGAGUCACGUGAUUUCUUGCUGGAGAUGAUUCAGCAAAGGAGCACUAACCUCUGAGACAAGGCUUCAGCUUCCUGAGCUCUGCUGACUCGCCUGGGACUUCCCUAAGCCCUUCUGGACCUAGAUGAGGGCAAAACUCAGUGGAACCUCAGAAGCCCUAAAAAAAUGAUAGACUUUCUUUUGUCUCAUCAUUAUCAGCAUUUUGGGAUGAUUUAGUCAGCCUAAGAAACCUGAUGGCAUGUUGACACCAGAAAACAGGUAGUAUAUAUUCCCAAACCAAGUUAAAAAAAAUUAAGAAAUAACAGCUGGAAUGCCUUUUAUUUUUUCUUUACACAAAUGUGUGUGUCAUCGUCAUAUGCCUUUUUUGUGUUAAUUUCUGAGGAUCCUGCCAGUGUGAAUACUCCAUUCUCUGCGAGUCGCAGGUCAGGCUGCUUUUGAGGCAAGCACACGUUAAGUAUUGAGCAGAAACAUUUGAAGCAAAGAUGAGAAAGACAGAAGGGGAAGCAAGAAAAAUAGUCUUCCCAGUGUGCCUAUUUGGGUGCAUAUAAAGUUACUUUUAGAUGUGCGAUUACUGGUUAAUGAUUUGGGGAAUUCUUUUCAAGUAGAAAUCCUGGGCUAAAAACUAAGUGUGCUCAAGCUACCCCCGCACCCACUGAUUCUGCACUCCAUGGGAAAAGUUCUCACAAGCAAGUCCUUUGUCCACUACCCACGUCUAUAGGAAAUGUUUGAACAGCUAUACACAAAGAACUCACAAGUCCACAACCUCGGGGGUGUUGCGGGUGGAGAGGGCAGUGGUAAAGGUGAUGACAGGGAGGGCCUGUGGGGACAGUAAUAUUAGAUUAGUGGUCAGAAGAUGCUGGAGCCUGCCUUGCCAGUCACACACUUUUAGAGGAAUGCUGGACAGUACACACCCUCCCCAACCCUGAAUGUAGGCCCUCGCUGACAUCACGCCAGAUGAAGCCCUGAGGUCUUUAACAUCUGUAACUCUAUGGCAUGUAACAUAAACAGGUGUCUGACCAGUUUCCCCAGAUAUAGAAUAAUAAUAAUACCUUUCAUUUAAAAAGGUAAGAGGGAAUUCAACAAGCUUUCCUUCUUAAAUAAAUCUCCAUCUCAGGAAGCCAUGGAAAGAUGCCCCUCCCACACUAAGACUGUAGAGAGAGGCACUGUGAAGGUCUGGCUUGGAGAUCUCAGCUCUUCCUGCCUCUCAGGGGGAAAGGGCAGAUCCAGCAGGCCGGGAAAGGAUCUCCCAGGGUCCCAAGGAGGCAGCAUGGGGCAAAGUCCAACAGUGAGGAUUCUCUCCUUCUCUGGUCUCUUUUCUGUUAAAAAUGCUUCUUUGGGGUACCCUUCAUUACUACCCUGGAGGUUGAAGGACACUUCUUGAGAAGGCAUAGAUACUCUUCAGGUAUGCUGAAGAAAUGAGUUGUGCUAAAACCACUGGUUAAUUUUGUCUGUGGCAAAAAAUCAUGAGGGUGACAUAGACUCCCAGGCCAGGAACCCGAGACUGGAUUUAAGAGAUGUGGCCAGGAUCCACAGGGGAGCUUGUAUGUGGCUCACAUCAUUAGCUCUUUCUGUAUAUUUGUAUUGUAAACCAUUUCCCUUCAUUUGUGAAGAUGGAGAUCACUUUUUCUAUACAGGCUAGAAAUGUUUCUUCAUACACACACGCUGAGCUUGUUUAUAAAAGAUAUUCAUUUAUAUGGUGGUUUUAACAACUUUUCCAUGUGGAAAUUUUAGACGACAGUAACACAGACCCUCAUGUACUCAUCACUCAGCCUUGAUGGUUACUGACACAUGCCCAAUAUUGUUUCAUCUGUUUCUCCCCACAACUCCUGGAUUAAUUUGAAAGAAAUCCUAGAAGUCACUUAAUCAGCAAAUACUCCAGUCUGUUGGUCCACUCCUUAUACAAUAGCCAGGGUGAUCUUUUACACAUGAAGUAGUGAUUGCAUCACUCAUGCUUGCUUGGAAUUCUUCAAAGACUUACGUUGGCACUUCAGAUAAAGUGUAGACUCCUUCGCGUGACCUAGGAUGUCCUUUGGGCUCUCACUGUUCCCUCAGCCUCCUCACCUGAAGCUCUCACUGCCCCACCCCUUUGCUCAUCACACUCCAACCCGCCUGCCAUUGAGCUACUCAAAUGGACUGCUCCUUUCUCAAGACCUCUGCACACUUUCAAGCCUCAUUUCUCUUCAGCCUUUAUUAAAUGUCAUCUCCUCCAGAUGGCCUCCUUUGGUGGCCCAGGUCAUGUUAGAUCUGCCUGUU